UGGAAAAAAUUUUGAUAUUCUUAGAGUAACCUUCUUUAUUAGCAGCGUUCAGCCAUGGACGGCUGAACGAGACACAAUCGAAUCUGGACGGUUCGUUGGGUCGUCUGCGUCCGUGAUUAAUAAUUUAAAUGGUUGCUCUUAGAAUAUCUUGUUUCUGG
rnacentral:ncRNA from 1 species